GGCUGAUACCCUGGAGUGUUGUGCAGCCCUUCAGAAGGACCUCAGCAGGUUGGAGAGAUGGGCAUAGAGAACCUUCUGAAAUGCAGCAGAGACAAAUGCAGGGUCCUGCACCUGGAGAAGGAAUAACCCCAGGCAUCAGCACAGGCUCAGGACUGACCUGCUGGAAAGCAGCUCUGCGGAGGAGGACCUGGGAGUCCUGGCUUCCAUGAGCCAGCAGUAUGUCUUUGUAGCCAAGAAGGACAAUGAUAUCCUGCAGUGCAUUAGGAAGAGCAUUGUCAGCAGGUCAGGGAGGUGAUCCUGCCCCUUUACUCAGCCCUGGUGAGUGCUGUGUCCAGUUCAGGGCUCCUCUGUACGAGAGAGACAUGGAACUCCUGGAGCAGGUCCAGUAUAAAGUGACAAAGAUGAUCAAGGGACUGGAGCAUCUCUCUUAU